GCCCCUGUAGCUCAACUGGCAGAGCAACUGACUCUUAAUCAGUAGGUUCAAGGUUCGAGUCCUUGCGGGGGCA
rnacentral:tRNA from 1 species